UACGGGGGAGCAAGCGUUGUUCGGAUUUACUGGGCGUAAAGGGCGGGUAGGCGGCCACCGCAAGUCAGUUGUGAAAUCUCCGGGCUUAACCCGGAAAGGUCAACUGAUACUGCGGGGCUAGAGUGCAGAAGGGCAACUGGAAUUCUCGGUGUAGCGGUGAAAUGCGUAGAUAUCGAGAGGAACACCUGCGGCGAAGGCGGGUUGCUGGGCUGACACUGACGCUGAAACUCGAAAGCUAGGGGAGCAAACGGG
rnacentral:rRNA from 1 species